UACAAUUCUAUUUGUUUCUCAGAUUCUGCA
rnacentral:piRNA from 1 species